CCCCUCUCAGGAUCGCAACUGGAGAGUUUCCAGUCCUCUGCCAGUCUCGACUAUGGGAGGGAAAAUCAAGCAGAGGCGUACCCAUUCCAUUCCUAGCUUGGGCAGUGGCUAGCGAGUGGAAUAUAAUCUGCUACAAGU